AUUGAACGCUGGCGGCAGGCCUAACACAUGCAAGUCGAACGAGUGGCGGACGGGUGAGUAAUGUCUGGGAAACUGCCCGAUGGAGGGGGAUAACUACUGGAAACGGUAGCUAAUACCGCAUACCAUCGGAUGUGCCCAGAUGGGAUUAGCUAGUAGGUGGGGUAACGGCUCACCUAGGCGACGAUCCCUAGCUGGUCUGAGAGGAUGACGAGGCACACGGGAAGGGAUACACGGUCCAGACGCCGACGGGAGGAAGGAGUGGGGAAUAGUGGACAAGGGGCGGAAGACUGAUGCAGCCAUGCCGCGUGGAUGAAGAAGGCCGGCGGGUUGUAAAGUACUUGCAGCGGGGAGGCGUUACCCGCAGAAGAAGCACCGGCGAACGCCGGGCCAGCAGCCGCGGUAAUUC
rnacentral:rRNA from 1 species